CGGGGUGCAGCAGGCGCGAAACCUUCCCAAUGCGCGAAAGCGUGAGGGGGAAACUCCGAGUUCCUCCAUUUGGAGGAUUUUGUAGUGUGUAAGAAGCACUGCGAAUAAGGGCCGGGCAAUGCCAGUGCCAGCCGCCGCGGUAAUACUGGAGGCCCGAGUGAUACUCACUAUUAUUGGGCUUAAAGCGUUCGUAGCCGGUUUUUUAAGUCUUUUGUGAAAUCCUGCUGCUUAACAGUAGGUCGGGCAAGAGAUACUGAAAGACUAGAGGAUGGGAGAGGUUGGAGGUAUUUCAGGGGUAGGGGCGAAAUCCUAUAAUCCUAGAAGGACCAUCUGGGCGAAGGCGUCCAACUAGAACAUGCCUGACGGUGAGGAACGAAAGCUAGGGGAGCAAACCAGAUUAGAUACCUGGGUAGUCCUAGCCGUAAACUAUGUGGACUGUGUACUGCGGGUGCUUAGGGCUCCCGCAGUGCUGAAGGAAAACCGUUAAGUCCACCGUCUGGGGAGUACGGUCGCAAGGCUGAAACUUAAAGGAAUUGGCGGAGGAGCACCACAAGGGGUGGAGUCUGCGGUUUAAUUGGAUACAACGCCAGACAACUCACCAGGGGCGACGGCAGAAUGACAGUCAGAUUUAAGAUCUUGCUUGACAAGCCGAGAGGUAGUGCAUGGCCACCGUCAGCUCGUACCGUAAGGCGUACCCUUAAGUGGGUUAACGAGCGAGACCCAUACUUUCAUUUGCUACCGUUCAUCUUUGAACGAGCACUAUGGAGGGACCGCUGACGACGAGUCAGAGGAAGGAAUGGGCGAUGAUAGGUCAGUAUGCUCCGAAUCCCUUGGGCUACACGUGGACUACAAUGACAUGAACAAUGGGAUGCAACUCCGAGAGGAGGAGCCAAACCCCCCAAAUCAUGCCUCAGUUCGGAUUGAGGGUUGUAACUCACCCUCAUGAAGAUGAAAUCCCUAGUAACCGUAAGUUAACCAUCUUGCGGUGAAUAUGUCCCCGCUCCUUGCACACACCGCCCGUCAAGCCAAGCGAGUGGGCGUGAUGUGAGGCGCUAUCAUUUGGUAGUGUCGAACAUCAUGUUCGC
rnacentral:rRNA from 1 species